CGUGUAGGCGGGAGAUCAAGUCAGAUGUGAAAUACCGCAGCUUAACUGCGGGGCUGCAUUUGAAACUGAACUUCUUGAGUGAUGGAGAGGCAAGCGGAAUUCCUAGUGUAGCGGUGAAAUGCGUAGAUAUUAGGAGGAACACCAGUGGCGAAGGCGGCUUGCUGGACAUUAACUGACGCUGAGGCGCGAAAGCGUGGGGAGCAAACAG
rnacentral:rRNA from 1 species